rnacentral:misc_RNA from 1 species
GAAAUGCGAUAAUUAAUGUGAAUUGCAGAAUUCAGUGAAUCAUCGAGUCUUUGAACGCACAUUGCGCCCCCUGGUAUUCCGGGGGGCAUGCCUGUCCGAGCGUCAUUGCUGCCCUCAAGCACGGCUUGUGUGUUGGGCUUCCGUCCCUGGCAACGGGGACGGGCCCAAAAGGCAGUGGCGGCACCAUGUCUGGUCCUCGAGCGUAUGGGGCUUUGUCACCCGCUCCCGUAGGUCCAGCUGGCAGCUACCCUCGCAACCAAUCUUUUUAACCAGGUUGACCUCGGAUCAGGUAGGGAUACCCGCUGAACUUAAGC